AUGAUGCAGCAGAAGAUCCAUCAAGUAUUGAGAUGGGGAUUGCAGGAGAUACUAUUCAGAUCAGCUCUUCAAUAGGAAAUGGGAAGAGACCUUGUAAGUUCUAAAAUCGGAGGAAGAUAGAAAGUUGCACAGGACCCUAAUGGCUUCCUCAUUGCUUCCACAGAGUAAUCCCUAUUGUCCCACAGCCCCACAGGAACCAGCUUGGCAGGGCCAACAGAAGAGUGGUAGUGGAUCUCCAACAAGCCCAAGUCUUAUUCCAAGGGAUACAGGAAAGGGUUUCGGGCCAAGAAUAUAGAAAGCCCAUGGCUAAACUGACUUUAUUCACCUCAGACUUUAGUAGCACAGACCUCGACCUUGGCUGUAGACAAUGAUCAUGCACAGAAGAUGACCAUAUUUCCUAUGAAGGUGUUUCAUGGUCCAGUGGCAGUUUAUCAGCUUUUAAAGAAAACUGGAAGAUCAUAAUGCCUGAUCACAGGGUUGAUCCUCCAAGUUAUCAGCCUGCAAUUGGCCAAGAGGCACCCCUUGAUGACACACCCAGUAUGACAUCAGUAUAAGCUCUGGAAAACGGAGUUUUCAGCAGCAAUAACAACCAUAGACAAGUGUUGACAAGUUUUUGUGCUCAGACCACUCUCUGGUAUUCCUUGUGUUGAAUCCUUCAACAUACCUCAGGAUGAUUAUCAGUCUGAAGAUCCUCAAUUGUGAAUACCUGAGACAACCUCACAAGUUUUGGAUGGAGUCAAUAGGGAACCUCUGAUGAAUGAUCCCUAUAAGGGACUCUAAUAUCUCCAUAGACUUGCAGAAUGCAUAUCUACUUGUUCAGAUUCAUCCAGACUCUCAGAGAUACCUACGCUUUGCUGUCAAUGAAAGACUCUUCCAGUUCAGGGUUCUAAGGAUUGAAAUAUCAGUCCUUGGCUUUUCACGAUCAUCACAGCUCCUUGGCUUUUUCACGAUCAUCACAGCUCCAAUCCUAGCAUAUUUACAUCUUCAGCGAUAAGAAUUUCAUGGGUACUUGGACAAUUUCCAGUCAUCAAAUGUGGAUGUGGAUACCUGUUUAGAAGACUCAAUAUCUGUGAGCUUUCUCUGAGAAUAUGGAGUUCUUGGUUCAUCUAGGAAAAGUGUGAGAACUCCAGAAACAAUAUUGGAGCAAUAUUUAACACUGGUCGAGGAAGUGGAAGUGGAGAACCUUGUUUCAAACAUGCAUGGAAAAUUCUGGAUAAUGUACUACAGUACUUGGAUACCAACACUGCUGUAUUCUUUAAAAGCUUGUAAAGUUUGGACUAUCAUGUAAAUUUUGUCUCAUUUAUAAUGAUUUCUUAAAAAAUUGUUCUGGAAGCUGGUGCUUGAUACCAUUGUUAGGAAUUUGUAGCUGACACACCCUUAUCAGUUAAUUUGUAUUUAUUUAUCAAUACUUGCAGGCAGUUCAAUGUAUAUUUCUAAACAUUGCUUGCAAUCAAGUGUAGUCAGUCUAGUUACAAAAUGAGAUUUUCAAGGACUUUCAUGAUUUAGACUAGGCAAAACAAGCCAUAUGUUGAACUUUUGCUUCAUUUUUAUAUUCCAGCUGUUCUGUCACAUGUUGUAAUGUUAUUGUAUUCCUGCAUAUAGAAAUAAAAUUUUGCUUUGAA